ensembl:lncRNA
GUGUCCGUAGGUGUAUUGUGAAUCUGCAAGCAGUAAAGCGAUCUCCCCUUUCGUCAUUGAAAUGACGCACUCUUCCAGGGCCUAUGCAUGCAAAACAGUCACAUUUUAAACUUCAGCUCCAUGAUUGGUUCUUCAAACACCUGCCAAGGCUGCCAAAUAGGUUCUUCACUCUUCACCUCCUGUUUGUCACAAACUGUCUUUACAAACAUCUCAGACUCCAACGUUGUCUCCUCUGCUUCUUCAGCUUCUGGUUCCAUGUCCCCACACUGUGCUAAGGAUACCGUUUAUCUCUUCUUAAAAGUGCUGAAUGUCUUCCCAGCACACACCAGGUUAGUAGAAAUGUCGCUGCUACUCAACUGCCAAACCGAUGAGCACCUGUAUCCAUUAGUGACAGCGUGUAGUAUUAUCUAAAGCACGUCCACAUGGACUCUUAGAAUUAUCAUGGAAAUGCAUCGUCACAUGACCUAAAUCCCAUCCGUGGUCAGUCCAUUUCCUGCAGAUUUUGUGGUCCUCGUUGAAGUGUAAUGCUGUGAAGAAUGCAGAAAAUGAUCAAUGUAUGAGAAUUGUGUUAAAAUGUAAAGCCCUACUGGUCAGUAGAGUUGUGUGCAGUGAUAAUCUGUUGGAUUAGAAGAGCAAAAUCUAAUCUGCCCCAACGUCUGUAAGCUUCUUAAUGACUUCAUCACGUCGUCCCAUAAUGCAGUUCCCAUGAAUGUAUCCACCAAUAAGAGGACUUCAGGGACUGGUUGCUUUUUUUUUUAAUAAUAUAUAAUAUAUGUAGAAAUAUUUCUUAAUAUAAAUAAUACCACAAUAUACACUACAGUUCAAAAGUUUGGAGUUGGUAAGAUUUUUAUUAUGCUCCAUAAGGCUGCAUUUGUUUGAUCAGAAAUACAAUAUAAUAUUGUCAUAUAUUAUGGCUGUUUUUUAUUAUUAGCAUUAUUUUAGUAUAUUUUAAAAUGUAAUUUAUCCCUGUCAUGUCAACACUGACUUUUCAGUCUUCAGUGUAACAAGAUCCUUCAGAAAUCUUACUGACCCCAAAAUUUGGUGUGUAUUCUAAUCCAAUUUUAAUUAUAUUGGCAGAACUAAAUGUUAACAGAUAUUUGUCUAGCUACUGAUCAGAAGUACAGAGAAAAGCCUUUGCAAUAUUCUCAUGGUGCAAAUGCCAAAUGUAAAAUCCCCAAACAUUUAUAAGAAAAGUAGGUGGAAAUUAAGGGAGUUUCAGAGAACAAACUCAUUACAAAUCAAGUCCUGACAAAUGAAAUAUGAGGUAUACUGUAAAUUACAAUAUUUUAUUCAUUAUCCUGGAUUUACAAUGUGUUGACUAUUUAUUUAUUAUUUAUUUAUUUAUUUAUUUAUUUGCUGUAAAUUGCUUAUCUUAUUUAAAGUGCAACCUGACAUCAGUGAAUUAAUCUCUACUUAGAUCCAUUCCUAAGACUCUGACACUUAAAGUAUGGAUCUGUUUGUCAAGUGCUUAUACGCAUCUGUAUAUUUAAUGUAUAUUUACACAGAACAUUGAAGCUCAUGGAAUAAUAUUCCAAAGCAAUCAGAGAGUCAGCAACAUUUUUUAUAAACCGCAAUCCGAGGUAACAUAAUUGUUUGUCCAGCCGGCUUCAUCUGUAUCUCCCUGUAUCUCAGACAGCCAUAUGGCAAGUAGAGUUUCCAUUAGAGACUACGAGAGAGCUCCUUAAUCCAAAGGCCCAAGCACCUUGUCUGUUGGGGAUUAUGUCUUUCCAAUUAACCUAAAUUCAGUAUUUUUCCCCUCACUGUCCAUUUCACCUCAUCUGUUUGUAAGCUUAAAAAGGUGCAGAUGAUUGCCUGGCUAGAUUAAGUGAAUCAUUUUUCUGUAUGCACAUUUUAAUCUAGUUUAAAAUGACAGUCUGAGCUUUUCCUCAUCAUUUUGUUCACAGAACAUUUCUUUAAUACCAUGUAAUUCUCAAGAUUUGUAUUUGCCGCUACAAUGAAUUUCUCUCAGACAUACCCAUAUUUGUUUGUUUUAUCUUUGACUGAUAACUGUUGUUUUCCAACUGACUGGUUUCAAGAGAAUAUUUUAUUAGGUUUGCAGGCGGAAAAGCUGAUUUAACAUGCAGAGUUUUGUUCAUACAUGAAAUUGAGAUUUUUUUGGAUGACUUCAAUGCCCAGCUAUAAUUUAAUUCUGGUAAUAUUUAUAUACUGUGAUUUAUUUAAAAGUUACAUUUACUUGUAUAUAAGAAGACUGUGUACCUUUACAGGUAUUUAGGAAGUUAGUCUGUUUCAAUUAAUAAGUGGGGUUGAGUGGGCCGUGAAUUCAAAGAAUAUCUAGUAGUGGACAAAUAUAAUGUCGGUCCUAGAAAAAUAGAAAUCUUCGCCGUCUAUUCAAACAUUUUUGUUAUUAAAAAUGUUGCAAGCAUUUUGUGAAGUUGUGCUUGGAGUGUAAAACUAAUGUACAUGCAUAAUUGUUUUAUUUGUAAUAAUGCAAUGAAACAUGGCAAACUGUGUCACACAAAGAUGCAUGACACAUGCACAAAACUUGGUGAGUACUGGAAUAUAUAUUCUGAUAUUUAAUAAUAAUAAUGAUAAAUUAAUUAAUUUAGUUUUUCUGUACUUUUUAUUUUUUUGCAUAGUAAAAUAAAACCCAUAUUCCAUGAUAAGCUGUAGUUUGCUUUUUUGCCAAAUAAUUUUGUCAGUUCAAUUUCUUAACCAAGUUAUUUAUUUAUUAAUUUAUUGCAAAUUUGAUUUGCAGGGUCAUAUAGCACUGCAAGUACAUGGAUUAAUGUUAAUGUAUUUUUACUUUCUUUACUUAAGGUGCAGGUGCACAUCCCCAUAUUAGGAGACCUGACAGCUCAUGGGAUGUUUUAUUCAAUAUUUUAAAGGGUUUUUUUUAUAAGUAAAAGUCAUGUUUAAUAUUCUCAGUACAGGCUGUCCAGUAGAACUGUGAAGGUUUUUUUUUUCUUUAUUACAUUCCUUGUCAAAUACACCAAAUCGAACUUUAUCAUCCUAAUAAGCUGAGUUAGACUUCUGAAAUACAUAUGAUUAUUGUUUUUGCGUGCGUGCGUGCGUGGGUGUGCGUGUGUCUAUGACGUCCCCACAACGCUCUCUCGUAACCCCGCCCAACGGAGAGUGACGCUUGGACGAGAAUGUCGCC